GUGUUGUAUGAAAGGAGAGAAGGUUAGCACUCCCCUUGACAAGGAUGGAAGAGGCCCUUGGGCCUGACAACACGCAUACGGAACAAUUGAAGAACUUCAU
rnacentral:ncRNA from 1 species